AUACGUAGGUGGCAAGCGUUAUCCGGAAUUAUUGGGCGUAAAGAGUGAGCAGGCGGUUAAUUAAGUCUGAGGUUAAAGCGUGGGGCUCAACCCCAUAAAGCCUUGGAAACUGAUUGACUAGAGUACGGGAGAAGUGAAGGGAACUCCAUGUGUAGCGGUGAAAUGCGUAGAUAUAUGGAAGAACACCAGUGGCGAAGGCGCUUCACUAGCCCUAAACUGACGCUCAGUCACGAAAGCGUGGGUAGCAAAUAGGAUUAGAUACCCUAGUAGUCCACGCUGUAAACGAUGACAACUAAAUAUUGCCGCGAGGCAGUGUUGAAGCUAACGCAUUAAGUUGUCCGCCUGGGGAGUACGGUCGCAAGACUGAAACUUAAAGGAAUUGACGGG
rnacentral:rRNA from 1 species